UGGUGCUACAGCUGCUCGCAGUAAGGCUGCUGAAGUUUGACUACACAUAAAUAUUAACUCAAUAAGUCCUUAUAGUAGAUGUUGGCGACAGUUGGUCCACUGGAGGAGUAGGGUGUGCACUUAGAUGAAAUCUAUCGACCCUAGCAGAAAGGAGUAGUCCUAUGAGAUUUAAGAAAUUGAGUCCUUAACUCUAUGGCCAUAGUAGUGUGAUUGAUG
rnacentral:lncRNA from 1 species